rnacentral:lncRNA from 1 species
UCAGGUAUCAUCACUCAAUAACCAUUUGACAGCAGUAAUGCUUUUCACAUGGAAAGAAUUGGGUUUUUAUUGAUGGCAAAUGUUGUGAUGAACUUUCAUGCCCACUUGGAGCCGGAGCACUUUUUUAUAGAAUGAACCACAAUGAGAAGCGUUUCCAAGAAAUGUCUUUGGAGUGUGGACUGAGAGGUUAAACAACAUUGUAACAGGACUGAUAACACCAUGAAUGAGAAGUCAUUUGAUCAAUGGAACUCAACCAUCUCAUGCUCCUACUACCAUGGUUGGAGAGCCAGUUAUUAAACAUUUACCAACAUGUGCAAGAACGGGUUUCAAGGCCGGCCAAGGCAAUCCCCCCAGCCUGAGCUACUUCCCAGACCAGACCACAGAAGCAAGGCCAUGCUCACCGAGGACCCCACUUGUGGACUAGACUUCUGUCCUGCUGUGGCCUCAAAAGCAAUAGCCAGGGCCCCAUGAUGAAGCUGCCAUCAGAAGCACAGAUUCCUGGUUGCGAGAGGGAGCCUAUAGGAAUGGCGAGAAGAGUGAGAACUUUGCAGAGGCAGCAAGGUAAAGGAUCUCAAAGGAAGAGUGGUGGGGGGCAGUUCAGAAAGAAAGAAGGAAGAGGAUGAGAAACAGAGGAUGGAGGUCAACACAGCCAGAAGCAGAGGAGGAAGGCAUAGGAAAUAACACCUUUGCUCUGAAAACUCCUUGACCCUGACUAUGAAGGGAUUAGGUUUUGCAAGCAUCAAGAAGUCUAGUGAUGGAAAUAUUAUAGUUUAAUGAAAAAAGUGUGGAAUGGAAUGAAGACAGGAAGAGGAGAACAGAGGGUGGUGUCCUUGUCCUGUGACAAUGCUGAUUUUGGAAUGUGGAUUCAAUACAAACGAUGUUCCUUCUGGCUAGGAUUUUCUCUUUGGGUCACCGCGUGUUCUUUGGGGUCAUAUAAAGUACUCUGCUCAAGAACAAAGGCCAGUGUGGCUAUGAUGAAAAUGCAUUGACAGAGGGGCUUCAAUGUCUAUGGAACAGAAACAAGAGCCCUGGACCAAGAGGAGGAAAUGUGGAUUCACCAACAUGUUGAAAAUCAUUCUAACAUCUCCUAACAUUUUGGAGAUAAAAAAUUUAAUGUUUGGUCCCUGUAACUAGCUUUGACAAAGAGAACACAGUGGAAGUGAUCCUGCCCACCCCUUUUCCAAGGUAGACCUUAAAAGACCUGUAGCUUCCACUAUUGUGCCUCCUAGAAGCCUGUACCAUGUAAGAAUUCUAACUACCAUGGGAACAUCAUGCUGUGAGGAAGCCCAAGCUAGCCAUUUGGGAGAGAGGAAGGCCACGUAGAGAAGCACCAAGAAACUAGACAUGUUUGUGAAGCCUACUUGAACUUUCCAGCCCAACUCCAGCUGAAUGCAUCCAAGUGAAUGGCCCCAGCUGAUCCCCUGUGGAGCAGAACCACCCUGCUGACUCCUGACUGAAUCCCUGAUCCACAGAAUGUGGCUAUGGGCUCAGAUCCUCUCUUACUUCAAGGGAUCUGGGCUGGAUGCUUGGGCGCGAGAGAGAAGAAUGGCUCUCAACUGGGCGGGGAAGAGUAGCCCGCAAGGAGGCAGCGGCUCCAGGAUGGGAAGUGAGGAU